rnacentral:rRNA from 1 species
GACGAACCGAGCGAACGUUGUUCGGAAUCACUGGGCUUAAAGGGCGCGUAGGCGGAUUCUCAAGUCCGGGGUGAAAUCCCACAGCUCAACUGUGGAACUGCCUCGGAUACUGGGAGUCUCGAGGGUGGCAGGGGUAUGCGGAACUAUCGGUGGAGCGGUGAAAUGCGUUGAUAUCGAUAGGAACUCCGGUGGCGAAGGCGGCAUACUGGUCCACUUCUGACGCUGAGGCGCGAAAAGCCCAGGGGGGAGCAAAA